CCGAUCUCCAGCACCCGCGGUAAUUCCAGCUCCAAUAGCGUAUAUUAAAGUUGUUGCAGUUAAAAAGCUCGUAGUUGGAUUUCUGGGAGGGUGCCGAUGUCCACUUAACGUGUGCGCAGCGGCGCCCUCUCAUCCUUCUGUUAGCGUCUCUUGGCAUUCAUUUGCUGGUGGCGGGCUCAGAUAUUUUACCUUGAGAAAAUUAGAGUGCUUCGGGCAGGCUAGGCCGGAAUACAUUAGCAUGGAAUAAUGGAAUAGGACUACGGUCUCUUUGUUGGUUUGAGGGACUGCAGUAAUGAUUAAUAGGGAUAGUUGGGGGCAUUAGUACUUAACUGUCAGAGGUGGAAUUCUCAGAUUUGUUAAAGACUGACUUAUGCGAAAGCAUUUGCCAAGGAUGUUUUCAUUAAUCAAGAACGAAAGU
rnacentral:rRNA from 1 species